CAUAAAGUGAAAUUAUUUUUGUUCGGUAUAUAAGGAAAGAACAGUUUUGAUACUUUUCGCCUUGAUAACUUUGAGCAAGAAUAGUAAUACAAUGUGUGUUUACACGCAAGGAGGCAACAAACAUGGCUACAGGUAAAGUUAAAUGGUUUAAUGCAGAAAAAGGAUUCGGAUUCAUCGAAACUUCAGAAGGUCAAGAUGUAUUCGUUCACUUCUCAGCUAUCCAAGGCGAAGGUUUCAAAACUCUUGACGAAGGUCAAGAAGUUUCUUUCGACAUCGAAGAAGGUCAGCGCGGACCUCAAGCUUCUAACGUAGUUAAAGGCUAAUACGCAAAGAACGGGCACUCAAUUGAGUGCCUGUUUUUU
rnacentral:sRNA from 1 species